GCGGCACGUGGCCAAUGACCCGCCAAUGUCAUUCUUAGCAUGUGUUUAAGGUUCUAGGUUCAGUUUUGAUAAUGGUUGGACGUAAAUUGAGUAAUUGAACCUAAAAUUGGUUAAGAUUCGUGGUUAGGCGAAAAUGUGAAUUUACGAUCCAACCGUUGGAUCGUCACCAAACUUUGAUACGUUGUAAUACGUAAUAUUUGAGGAUUAUAGGAACUUACGGAUUGGGAAUCCAAGUUACGGAUCUUCCGGAAUUGGAGUUGUAAGUUCAUAAAAUAAAAUGUUAACCGUCACUUAGUUUUGGAAAUUGACGGAGAUCCGACCGUUGGAUGGUAAUGAAAUUUUAGGAUGUUGUCCUAGAGAUAUAUUGUGGACCUCUUGAAGUUAUGGAUUUAAAAUUUGAAUUACAGAUCUUUCGGAUCGAACUACAUAGUGACGUAUUUUAUAUAAGUUAUAUAUUCUAUCGAUAUGAAUUCUGAGGUUGGAUUUGGUUAUUGUUUUAGGCGCCGAUCGUCAUGACGCCUUGACGUAUUGUGCUAGGGAGUUGUAGGGCGAACUCCAGGUGAGUGGGUAGUUUUGUUUUCGUAUUACCUAUAUACAACUGUUUUU
rnacentral:lncRNA from 1 species